rnacentral:rRNA from 1 species
AGCGAACGCUGGCGGCAGGCUUAACACAUGCAAGUCGAGCGGGCACUUUCGGGUGUCAGCGGCGGACGGGUGAGUAACGCGUGGGAACGUGCCCUCUGGUUCGGAAUAACUCAGGGAAACUUGAGCUAAUACCGGAUACGCCCUUUUGGGGAAAGGCUUGCUGCCGGAGGAUCGGCCCGCGUCUGAUUAGCUAGUUGGUGAGGUAACGGCUCACCAAGGCGACGAGCAGUAGCUGGUCUGAGAGGAUGAUCAGCCACACUGGGACUGAGACACGGCCCAGACUCCUACGGGAAGCAGGAGUGGGGAAUAUUGGACAAUGGGCGCAAGCCUGAUCCAGCCAUGCCGCGUGAGUGAUGAAGGCCUUAGGGUUGUAAAGCUCUUUUAUCCGGGACGAUAAUGACGGUACCGGAGGAAUAAGCCCCGGCUAACUUCGUG